GAUGAAGAACGUAGCGAAAUGCGAUAAGUAAUGUGAAUUGCAGAAUUCAGUGAAUCAUCGAAUCUUUGAACGCAUCUUGCGCUCCUUGGUAUUCUGAGGAGCAUGCCUGUUUGAGUGUCAUUAAAUUCUCAACUACACUGACUUUGAAUUGGUGUGGCUUGGAUUUGGGGGGAAAAUUGUUGUGGGCUUUUUGUAUAGUCUGCUCCCCUGAAAUUGAUUAGCGGUACCUUUGUGGAACUGUCUACAGGUGUGAUAAUUAUCUACAUCUUAGACAUCUGCUGGAAUGCUGCUUUCUAAACCUUUCUUGUAUUGACAAUCUUGACCUCAAAUCAGGUAGGACUACCCGCUGAACUUAAGCAUAUCAAUAAGCGGAGGA
rnacentral:misc_RNA from 1 species